rnacentral:rRNA from 1 species
UUCUGGUUGAUCCUGCCGGAGACCACCGCUAUUGGUGUCCGCUUAAGCCAUGCGAGUCGAGAGGGUUCGGCCCUCGGCAGACUGCUCAGUAACACGCGGAGAACCUGCCCUGAAGUGGGGGAUAAUCUCGGGAAACUGAGGCUAAUACCCCAUAGCCCUUGAAUGCUGGAAUGCUUCGAGGGCAAAAGCUCCGGCGCUUCAGGAUGGCUCUGCGGCCUAUCAGGUAGUAGUGAGGGUAACGGCCUCACUAGCCGGCGACGGGUACGGGCGUUGAGAGACGUCGCCCGGAGAUGAACUCUGAGACACGAGUUCAGGCCCUACGGGGCGCAGCAGGCGCGAAAACUGCACAAUGCGAGCAAUCGCGAUGCGGGGACACCAAGUGCCGGCACAGAGUGUCGGCUGUUUCCAAGCCUAAAAAGCUCGGAGAGUAAGGGCUGGGUAAGACGGGUGCCAGCCGCCGCGGUAAUACCUGCAGCCCAAGUGGUGGUCGCUAUUAUUGGGCCUAAAGCGUCCGUAGCCGGUUCAGUAAAUGCCUGUGUAAAUCGAACAGCUCAACGUUCGAACGGCGGGUAGACUGCUGGACUUGGGACCGGGAGAGGCACGAAGUACUCCGGGGGUAGAGGUGAAAUUCUGUAAUCCUCGGGGGACUACCGGUGGCGAAGGCGUCGUGCUAGAACGGCUCCGACAGUGAGGGACGAAGCCCUGGGGCGCAAACCGGAUUAGAUACCCGGGUAGUCCAGGGUGUAAACGCUGUGCGCUUGGUGUCGGGAGUCCUUCGAGGGCAUCCGGUGCCGGAGAGAAGUUGUUAAGCGCACCGCCUGGGAAGUACGGCCGCAAGGCUGAAACUUAAAGGAAUUGGCGGGGGAGCACCGCAACGGGAGGAGCGUGCGGUUUAAUUGGAUUCAACGCCGGACAGCUCACCGGAGUCGACCAUUACAUGUGGGCCAGUCUGAUGGGCUUGCCUGAAUAAUGGAGAGGUGGUGCAUGGCCGCCGUCAGUUCGUACCGUAAGGCGUUCUGUUAAGUCAGAUAACGAACGAGACCCUUAUCCUCAAUUGCCACCUGAUCCUCCGGGGUCAGAGCACAUUGGGGAGACCGCUGGCGCUAAGUCAGAGGAAGGUUAGGGCAACGGUAGGUCAGUAUGCCCCGAAUGCUCCGGGCUACACGCGCGCUACAAAGGAUGGGACAAUGGGUAUCGACGCCGAAAGGCGAAGGCAAUCCCGAAACCUGUUCGUAGUUCAGAUCGAGGGCUGCAACUCGCCCUCGUGAAGCUGGAUUCCGUAGUAAUCGCGUCUCAAAAUGGCGCGGUGAAUAUGCCCCUGCUCCUUGCACACACCGCCCGUCAAACCAUCUGAGUAGGGUCCAAGUGAGGCUCCUCUUCCUGGGGAGUCGAACUUGGGCUUUGCAAGGAGGGUUAAGUCGUAACAAGGUAACC